rnacentral:rRNA from 1 species
AUACGGAGGGGGCUAGCGUUGUUCGGAAUUACUGGGCGUAAAGCGCGCGUAGGCGGUUUACCAAGUCAGGCGUGAAAGCCCCAGGCUCAACCUGGGAACUGCGCUUGAUACUGGUAGACUAGAGGCCGGGAGAGGGUAGUGGAAUUCCCAGUGUAGAGGUGAAAUUCGUAGAUAUUGGGAAGAACACCAGUGGCGAAGGCGGCUACCUGGACCGGAGCUGACGCUGAGGUGCGAAAGCGUGGGGAGCAAACAGGAUUAGAAACCCCAGUAGUCC